GGGAAGAAGAAAAGAAAGAAAAAGAGAGAGAAGGAGGAAGGAGGGAAGGAGAAGGGAGGAAGAGGGUGAGAGGGCGAUUCUCCACCGAUCGGAGUGAUUCCAAAGCCUAGACCACUCAAAAUCUUCCCCUCUUCCAUAAUCCUAGUUUAGUUUUGAGUGAGGGUUAUUGUGGAGAGAGAUAUUCUCCUUCAAAAAUUCGAACCCUAGGUGAAAUUGAGGAGAUUGAUGGCUCCUACCUCCAUGGGAGCUUGGGAGGCUUCUAUUGCAUGGUUGUGUGACCUAUUGUGGAUUGAGGCAAGAAGACCAAGUAGAGUGACCAACCUUUGUGGUUGUGUGCAAUUGAGGAAAGCUCAAGAGCAAGGUAAGGAAGCUGCAGGAGCCUCUGAUGGCAAGUGGCCUUAUUUGCAGUAGAUCAUGCAUGAAGAAAAUGAUGUUUUGAGAUCAUACAUGUUAUUUUGUAGAUUUACAUGUAUAAGAUUGAUUAUUGAUAGCAUUGACGUAUGUAUAUCUCGUUAUAUUUGAUGGACUUAGCCUAUGAUCAUGCCUUUGGAUAUCUCUUUUGUUGAUGAGAGCCAAGGGAUGGUCAUAGCCUUUUGUAGCUAAGUUUCCCGUUAUGUAAUUAAACUUGUGUAAUGUUAUUUACUUCAAGGUUAUGAACGCAUGAUGAAUAUUGGAAAUGUUGAGCUGAAUUUUCUAUUAGGAGCUAAGCUGUUAGAUUGGGAAACGUUGAGAAAA